AGGGUAAUAGUUAAUUUAACAUUUAAUUUGCACUUAAAAAAUAUUGAUAUUCCAUUCAAUUUACCUUA
rnacentral:tRNA from 1 species